ACGUCUCCAUAAUAGAAAUAGGUAUCGUCAAUGACAUUUGUUUUAUAACUAUCAAACAUGUUUAAAACAUCCUUUAUAUUGAAUCCACAUAACAAUUAUUUAUGAUAAGGGGCACCAUCACAUAGAUUAAAAAAAAAGGGAUUAAUCAAUAGUUCAACACUAAAGCAUCGACCACUUGCAUGGUGGUCGGAGCAAGUGGAAAUGUGUCAAGUCUCUAAGUUGCGGUACAUAUUCUAAAUCCUUGCGGUGCUCCAUGUUUAGCAAAGUAUCGUCAUAUGCACAUCUUUGCUACAACCGAUGCAUGCACCUCAAACAACAUGCUGGUGUUUUUACCUAAUAAAAUAGAGUGUAGAAUUUUUUUGCCAGGUGCAAAUUGUACCAACGACUUGUAUGAAAUAAAUGCAGUGCUUCAUUAAGAUCAUUACCGGACUAUUCUUGCCAAACAAACCAAAAACUGUUGUUUUCCCCUGUAUUACUUGAACUGGUUACAAUAUAAACAAAAUUAACCCUGUCGUAGAAUAAAACCAUUAUGACCUACUAAACCCAACCUGACAAAAUGAUCCAUUUCAAUACAAAACAUUUGAUGUGUCGUUAAUUGCCAGUUGUUAAAAAAAUUGUAAUAGAAUCAUGGCGCAAACGUAGCUUGUAUUGCGGUUUACAGAAUGAAGGAAACUCAAAUAAUAUUUUAACAUUAAUUUAUCUUCCAUACUAAUGAUAGCCUCAUACAGCGCCAUAGCUCUAACCUUGAUCUUUUUUAAAAAUACCAUAAAAAUAUGUUAGAUGGACGCAAAUGCUUCUAUUCUCCUUAUUAAUUUGUUGCAAUGUAAAUUUGUAAGAUAUACAUGCAAUUCCAGCUAGAAAUACACUGACAAAUUGCCAUGGAAAUCAUUAUGAGAAAUUAAGAACAGGUUCCACCUUUUUGUUGACAGAAAAUAAAGAAAGAAAGAACACAUCAGAAUUUUAAUAUGAGUAGCAGAGAGGUGGAGGACCAUAAUCCUUAUUCAGGCAGAGACAACAGCGGACAGCUGGGCAUCAGAGGGCUUGGCGCCUGCUGAAGAACGCAUGACAUUAUUGGAUUGACCUCUUGGUAGAUGAGCAUGCAUGAAGGACAUCAAUACAAAAAGUGAUAUAAAAUAUUAAUAAAUUUUAGGUUCAUUUAUGUUUUUUUAGCCAAAAUGUCCUAGCCAAAGAGAGCUGUAUUGGCAGAACAAACAUUCCAGGGUUCUUUUUGGAAGCCACAAGAACAAACAAACUGCCAAACAGAAUGUACGGAAAAGUCAAUUUAGUCUUAAGGCAUGACAGGCUGACACACAAAAAACUUGGAAUAGUGACUGUGAACAUUCUGUUGUAGCAAUCUACUAUGAAGCACAGAAAAGGCAAUUUACUCUUGACGCACAAAAUUUUAACAGUUAUUUUGUCAUUGUAUUCUUCCUAGUAUGCUUAGUUUAUGCAAGAAAAUGGUCGUACUUCAGUUAUACAUUACACAAAGGUAGAUCUAGAAGAACACUUGGCUGACCACAUAAGGGUAUAAUAAUGUAGCAGCAGCAUAUACCAUAACAACUUUAAUAACAAAAUUGGUACCUAAUCACUUUAUAGCAAACGACAACUAUCCGGCGGCAUCAUUAACCUGAUUAGCACCUAAGAACAACAUAAAUUUCUUUUAGUAACAGUCCAUGCAGAGUAUGGCAUCUAAACCUUCUAACAAAAACAUGAUUACAAAAACCUUAUAGAAAUAAGGAAUUGAAAAACAAGAGAACAAAUAAAAGGAGGCACACACACUUGUAAUGCAAACCAUGCCAAUUGUCAACUUAUUUCUUAAAUCUCAUAGAACAUCAACUCAAUUGUGGACUAAAGAUGGUUGCCAUGGUAAAAUAAUCUUUCUCUCACGUCUUGCUCAUUUCAAAGACUACACGACCCACUACUUAUUUUCAUACACCAGAAUAAACUUCACAUCGCGUGCAUCCAAAAGGAAAAUAUAUAGAUUGCUUCAAAAAAAAAGGAAAAUAUAUAGAUGGAUACAGUAGGG
rnacentral:lncRNA from 1 species